rnacentral:rRNA from 1 species
UACGAAGGGGGCUAGCGUUGUUCGGAAUUACUGGGCGUAAAGCGCACGUAGGCGGAUAUUUAAGUCAGGGGUGAGAUCCCGGGGCUCAACCCCGGAACUGCCUUUGAUACUGGGUAUCUCGAGUCCGAGAGAGGUGAGUGGAAUUCCGAGUGUAGAGGUGAAAUUCGUAGAUAUUCGGAAGAACACCAGUGGCGAAGGCGACUCGCUGGACAGACAUUGACGCUGAGGUGCGAAAGCGUGGGGAGCAAACAGG